AGUGGUUAAAGACCGAGAAUGGGUAACGUGAUUUUUCGAUACUGUGGCUCGUAAUCCUCAUAUUCAUUGGUUUCUGGAUAGCCGGUAUCGCUGCUGGUAUUUACAUCCUUGUGCUGCCUUUCACGGUUUGCAUAGAGCCCUUAAGUGGUCUUACAGACUUCCUUUUAUCAGUGGUACAAUUCCCAAAGUAUUGCGCACAAGCUAUGGUGGAAGGAAGAGGAUUUAAUUAAGGUCUCAUUAAUUCUAGUCAAAAUGUGUACAAUAUAUUUUCCAUUUAGUGCCAUUUUCAUUGAAUCUUCAUAAAAUCAGUAUAAACUAUUUUAACUCAUAAAAUCAGAAAAAAGUAAAAUGAAAUUACUUUAUUAAAGAUUUUUUAAGUCAAUAUUAUAAUAAUGGGAAGUUUAAUUCUGCUCUAUAAAUUAAUGUUAAAUAAAACAUGUUAUUCAGAAAUUUCUGCCUUGGCCUUAUAUUAAUUAUCUUUUAA